rnacentral:tRNA from 2 species
GCACCAGUAGCUCAACGGUAGAGCACUCGACUAAUAAUCGAUGGGUUAUCGGUUCGAAUCCGUUCUAGGUGCACCA